rnacentral:rRNA from 1 species
GACGAACGCUGGCGGCGUGCUUAACACAUGCAAGUCGAACGGAAAGGCCCUGCUUUUGUGGGGUGCUCGAGUGGCGAACGGGUGAGUAACACGUGAGUAACCUGCCCUUGACUUUGGGAUAACUUCAGGAAACUGGGGCUAAUACCGGAUAGGAGCUCCUGCUGCAUGGUGGGGGUUGGAAAGUUUCGGCGGUUGGGGAUGGACUCGCGGCUUAUCAGCUUGUUGGUGGGGUAGUGGCUUACCAAGGCUUUGACGGGUAGCCGGCCUGAGAGGGUGACCGGCCACAUGGGGACUGAGAGACGGACCAGAGUCCUACGGGAGGCAGCAGUGGGGAAUAUUGCACAAUGGGCGGAAGCCUGAUGCAGAAGCGCCGCGUGCGGGAUGACGGCCUUCGGGUUGUAAACCGCUUCCGCCUGUGACGAAGCGUGAGUGACGGUAAUGAGUAAAGAAGCACCGGCUAACUACGUG